AGUCCUUGGUGUGGGCAACAUUGGAGCAAGUCUUUAUACCUCUCCUAAGUAUCAUACACGCUCGCAUCAUCAAACUGCACAAAAGAAGAUAUGUCAUUUCUCAAUCU
rfam:Ricinus communis cultivar Hale ctg_1100012357762, whole genome shotgun sequence.